rnacentral:lncRNA from 1 species
UAAAAGAAAAAAAACAUGAAAUUAAAAACUUAAUAUCUUAUAUUUAUUUUGUUUAAUAUAAGUGUUAUUAAAAUAUUAUAUUAGGGUUCUUUACUGUCCUAGGCAUUAUCUUUCAGUAGCCGCAUCUGAUAUGCGAGAUUACGGAUUAUUAAUUUUAGUUAGUAGAAUCUCCUGUAAAAUAAAAAACUAUAUCCAUUUAAGUUCCCCUAAAAAGCAAAAUUCAAGCAAAAGGGUUACAGACUUAACAAUUUUAGAUACUGCUGGUAUCCCUAAUACUAUUUAUACAAUGUACGAGUAAAGUAAGUAUUUUAUUAUUUGGUUAUAUAUAAUAGGUAUUUUUUAAUAUUUUCUUUUAUUUUUGGAAAAAUAUGUGACUUUAAUUUUUUAUGGCAAGAACUUAAAGAAAAAUUAAAAUUUGAUGGUUGUCGCAUACCAUUAUGCUCAGUUCUAAAAGAAAUUGGCUUUAAAUGGAAAAAAGAUGAUCCUAGAAGGAGGCUUUUAGAACUGCCUAAUAUAGCAUUUAAACGUGUCGAUUUUUAAAGUCGUAUAUAAAAGAAAAAGAGAAAGAAAAGAGCAUAUAUAAAUUUGUCUUCCUAGACGAAAAAGAUUUUUCAAAAUGGAACCAUAGGGCGUUCAUGGCAGGAUGAUAAUAAAAAGAGCGUGAGAAAGAUUAAAAGCGAUGGUAAGAGAUAUAUCAUACUUAAUGCGAAUGGGAAAUAAAGAUGGAUUUAUUGAAAACGCAGAUCUUAUUUUUUCCCUAAUGAGUCAAACAAGCAACUACCAUGGUGAAAUGAAUCGGGAAUAUGUUUGCUUUGAUUUGUUAAAAAAUUUAACUGAUCCAUCAUUAAUAAUUGUGGACAAAGCUCCUUGCCACAUCAUGCUCUUAAAUAAAAGAACUAAACAGUUCUUGAACAAAACCAGCAAUUCAGGAGUGGCUAAUUACCGAGAAUAUAAAGUCUUUAAACAAUAUGUUUAAAAGUGAACUUUUAAGAAUUGUUGCAAGAAAUAAAGCAAAGCAAAAAUAUUUUAUAGAUGAUCUGGUUGAGCAGUUCAGUCAUAAAGUUCUUCGCCUGCCACCAUAUCACUGUAUGUUUAAACCAAUCGAACAUAUAUGGGGCAUAUCCAAAUCCUAUUACAAUAAGCACAUUAGCAGGGAUGGCAAUUCACACCAAGAUUGCUUAAACAUGUGGCAUAGAGCACUGCAAACCAUAACACCUGAUAUAUAGAAAAAUACAAUAACACAUACGGAAAAGGAAAUUUUAAAAUGAGUGCACAGAAUCAGAUUAGUAGUAAUACCUACUAAACAAAACAUAUAAUUUUCGUAUUAUUAUAUAUUAUUGUAAUAUAUUUUAUAUUUGUUAAAAA